UAAGUAGUAAACUGUUUCGGCAGCUGCACUUUUUAGAAGUUGAGCCCUCCACCCUUUCCCUUUACUAAGUCUUGUGAUCCACCUCAAUUCAUCAUUCCAUUUCAUAGGGAUAUGAUCUAUCUGCAGCCAUCUAAGGACCCUUUGCCAAAUAACCUUCAACUCGUCGCAACCAAAGAACAAGUGAUUAAUAGUUUCCUCCCGGUGAUAGAAGCAACAAUGCACAUCAACUAUCAAACCGAAUUUAUAGAGCCUAUCUUUUGUUGCCAAUCUGCAAUGACAUGCCAGCCAGAAAAUAAACAAAGCUCUAGGACG
rnacentral:lncRNA from 1 species